UGGGGAUGGAUCUCAUUCUGGAUGUCCCUCCUUUGUGGAGCUUUUCAUUGCAAACCUGAAUCUUUGGUUACAGGUAUGACACAUCAGUCACAAUGGAGGCAGUCCAGGCAAACAGCUUUAGGAGAGCAUGUGCUGUGCUUCAAGAUUCCCCUCAGCUGACCAUAUGCAUUUUCCUAGAAGAGGAAACCACGAUCAGUAAAGCUUGCAGGGCUGUGGAGAACCUUCCUUACUCAGGCAGUGUCCUGUGCCAUGUGUCUGGGAGCCAGAGGGUCUCUUCUGGAGCCUUCACCACCACAUCACACCUCUGGCCCUGCAAGAUUGGCAUCUUCUCCCAGAUUAUGACUGUUGGAGUCAGAGAAGAGCUACAUCCACGUUCAACUGUUAAACACAGUAUAAAUAAAUGGAAGAAAAGCCCCUACCCAGCAAGGCCAGAGCCCUACAGAUAACCUCUGCUUCCUCUUUAAGCUUACCUGCUACCGUCCAUUAGUGAUGGUUACCAGCAAGCUGCAUCCACAUCACUGAAUCUGACAAAGUUACCCUCAACCCAGCGGGAUUAUGAUGAUUUGCCUCUAAUUUUUGGACUUCAGCAAACACACAAAUGCAUUUAUGAAGUACCAGCUAUCGUUUCAGCUGACUCUUCAUUAAAAUGUAUUUAGAUGUCCUUCAAAAAAAAAAAAAAAAUAAAAAAAUCAUCUUGCAUUGAAACUCAAACUGGCUGAUUCCCAGGCUUACAGUUACUUUCCUAUCAAGAAUUAAUGCAAUAUCAUGCACACACCAUUACUGAAAAAUUCUACGCUGUUUUUUGCCAAGUGUUCCUAUAUAACAGUUUUAUCACAAGUCUGACAGCCGCCAUAAAAAUUCCAGGCAUUCUAUAUCAACAGCCCUCUUUGUACUAAGUUAUUAAACAUUAAAUUUUUAUUCGUCAUUUGUAUUCUGUUAUGCAAAAUAAGCUCCUUGAUAAGAUGUGUCUUCUUAAUUGGGCCCUUGAUGCUUCUUGGAUCGGAGUUGUCAGAUUAGCUGGAAGAAGAGGCUCUGCAUUGAGCCAGCUCGCUACCAGGAGACCAAUAGCUUUGUAACAACGAUAUUAAGUUAGAGGGGCCAAAUGGAGGGCAGCACUAGGCUCAGGUGAGACUCUACAUCUGGGCAUGUCUUAUGCUCAGGCACUUUUCUCAUAGCAUCAGCAGGGCUGAUGGAAAUAGAUUUGUUUGUUGUUUACAGCAUGCAGCUGUGGAUGCUGCUGCAUGGGAGUUGUAUAAGAUUGAAGCAAAUUUGUACUGAGACUAAAAUAUUGAGCUUUUCUCCAGUCAGCAGUCUCUGGAAUCUUAUUGUCGAAAACUUUAUCUAGUUGUAACCAUCCCCAGGGUGAUUUUCAUUUGCAGCUGCCCUGCUCUGUCUCUGCCCGCCUGUCCCACACUGCCACCGCAUC